rnacentral:rRNA from 1 species
CAGCAGCCGCCACGGUAAUACAGAGGGUGCGAGCGUUAAUCGGAUUUACUGGGCGUAAAGCGUGCGUAGGCGGCUUCUUAAGUCGGAUGUGAAAUCCCUGAGCUUAACUUAGGAAUUGCAUUCGAUACUGGGAAGCUAGAGUAUGGGAGAGGAUGGUAGAAUUCCAGGUGUAGCGGUGAAAUGCGUAGAGAUCUGGAGGAAUACCGAUGGCGAAGGCAGCCAUCUGGCCUAAUACUGACGCUGAGGUACGAAAGCAUGGGGAGCAAACAGGAUUAGAUACCCCAGUAGUCCCUGUCUCUUA